GGGCUGCAUUCAUCCACCUCGUGCUUAUCGCCUACUCCAACGCCGACUCCUGCUCGUCGGUCGUCGCCUCGUCCAGCUCUCUCCGCCCCUCCAGCCUAGCCUAGCCCCUCCUGCUCACUGCGUCGUCUCCAGAAUCCGGCCUACGACCGUUGGCGGCUGGUGCCCCCACCGGCAAUCGGUGGUCAUGGUCUGUCCCUGCUCACUCCAUUCAGAUCCGCUAUGCGCGAGGCGCAACUGGAUCUAUCGUAUUCCUGGUUGCUCUCUCCCUCUCCGCGGGCGAUGCGCCUCUCUAGGUUCUACCGGCGUCCGUCCAACCGGUGUUCAGCGUGCCUUCGCAGGCCCCCUUCUCUGCCUUCGAUGAGUGCAUUUGAUCAGUAUUGGGAGGCUGCACUUGAUGUGACUAUAUGUUGGAAGAAAUCCUUUCUUGUCAUUGCUCGAGGUGAUAACUCCAGUGACUAUAUUGUCGACCUUCACUUCUCGCUACAACAAAGAUGCGGUCCUUCUUACCAUCCUUUUACUAUCUGAUUUCCCUAAAAUAAUUUUGUUUGACUAUUCAAAUCAUGCUUGGAGAGGAUCAUGGCGUGGGAUCAGAAAGAGCACCAACAAUUUUCUACAUGUUGUACAAUGGGGUUAUGAUUACUUGAAUUUUGUCAUUUGUUUUAGUAAUUAUGUGAUCUGCAAUUGAUCUAGCACAAGCACAUUCAAAUUGACCAAUUUCUACUAGUGCUAUAACUUUAUUCCGAAUGGAUGGCUUCCUUCCGGAAAGACUAAACUGAAUAAUUAUGUCAAAGUUGUUUCACUAGUUUGGCCUAAUAGGUAUUGAUCUAUGGUAUCUAGACUACAUAUUGUACUAUAUGGUUGAUUGUUCUGAUUUCGGGCUUGGUUAAUCUGACGUUUCUAGCAUCCAAACAUAUAGAUAUAUGUCAGCUACCUGUGUACCAUGCACGAAUAAUCCUAUAAAUUCAGGUUGAAUAUUUUCUGCAUGUAACCUAAAACUUCUACGCUAUGGUCUUUCACUUACAGGUUGUUAAAGAAGAGCAGAUGUGCUAUUUUGGUUGGUCUAAAAUCAGGGGUGGACCAACAGGGGGUCCAGGGGGGCCACGGCACACCCUAGGCCAGCCCAGCAAGGACCCCACCCCUUUGUCGCCCAGCCGCUAGCACGUAGCUACCACGACUAGUGCCCAGGUCACCACCGCCAUGCCUAGCGCCAAGCCACCACUCACCCGCACCCAACACCAAGUCGCCGCAAUCCUAGUGCCCAUUGUACAUGUGAACAUAUAAAGCUACCAUGAUCAUGGAGGUAGCAGGUGCAGAGACACCCAUCAAGGUUUCUUCGUCUCUAGUCAUUUGUUACGCAAAUUCAAAUACAGGUAAAAGUAGCAUUGUAUAAGGUGCAGAUUGAUUUGUACAGAUGAGGUUGCUUCUGAAAAUUGACAGGAAAAUUCCUUGGUAUACUUGUAUGCAGGCUUUUGGAAAGUUGAGGCCUAUUUGUGCACAAUAGUAUACUAACCAUUGAAGAUUAUUACUCUCAUCUAUUGCAGGUACAUUAUUCUGAAACUCAGUUCAUGAAAUGGAAUGAGUUCAGUUUCAAUAUAGCAGAAUAGCAUGCUAGCAGCAAACAUGCACGUGCCCAGACUUCAUUCAGGUGACAUCUUUCAUUGUCUCUUCUCAAUCAUUUAUAGUGUCAUUUCGAGUUUUCAUGGCUUGUAUUGUGCUAUGAGUUUUUAGUGCUUCAUGGUGGGCUUAGUUGCAUGAAGGGUUCUCAGCUUUGAGAUUAAUUACCAAUGCACCUUUUGAGAGCUCAAAAGAUGGUCUUCGCAUUGAGCUAGGUGACGUCUAUGGUGUUGUGCUGCGGGCAAGGCCCACACAAUGUGAUCGGGCUGCACGCCAAUGUUCAACAUGUGCCCCAACCAGAAUGUGUAUGCUACUACUAAUAUAACAUUCGUCAUUGGUUGGUUCACCCCAAGAGGUUUGCUGCAUGUUCAUGGAGCUGGUGGAUAAUAAAUUUUAGUUGUUCUUUUUGUGGUUUAUUAGAUGACAUCAAUUAGUGUUCAAUUGAGCCUUAGAGUAGGAUGAAUACAACUGUCUUAAGUUUCUUUGUUCCAGCAGAUUGUUUGGGGGCAAGGUUACCUAUGAACUUCAAGAAUUGGUCUUAUGAUAUUGUUAGUUUGUACAACUUAGUGUUAGGUUGCUCGACUUCUUCAUGAAUGAGGUGUUAGACAUUGGUCGAUCAUGCAGGGUUGAAGGUGCUUCAUAUAACUAAAUCUACCAUGACUUUCUAGGAAAAGAUGGAAUGGAACUCAAUUUUUGGUGGCCGUACAAGUGUGGAAACUUGAAUUCAUAUAUACUUACAAUCAACAUUAGCGCAAACAGUUGACCAAGUUUUUCAA